GUGCUCACUUUGGCAGCACAUAUACUAAAAAUAGAAUGCUAUGGCAAGUAUUAGCAUGGCCACUGUGCAAAUGAUGACAUGUGAGUUAAUGAAGCUUUCCAUAAUUUU